UACGAAGGGGGCUAGCGUUGUUCGGAAUUACUGGGCGUAAAGCGCACGUAGGCGGGUUUGUAAGUAGAGGGUGAAAUCCCAGGGCUCAACCCUGGAACUGCCUUCUAGACUGCAAGCCUGGAGGUCAGGAGAGGCGAGCGGAAUUCCGAGUGUAGAGGUGAAAUUCGUAGAUAUUCGGAGGAACACCAGUGGCGAAGGCGGCUCGCUGGACUGAUACUGACGCUGAGGUGCGAAAGCGUGGGGAGCAAAC
rnacentral:rRNA from 1 species